rnacentral:rRNA from 1 species
UGGGGAAUUUUGGACAAUGGGCGCAAGCCUGAUCCAGCCAUGCCGCGUGCGGGAAGAAGGCCUUCGGGUUGUAAACCGCUUUUGUCAGGGAAGAAAUCUUCUGAGUUAAUACCUCGGGAGGAUGACGGUACCUGAAGAAUAAGCACCGGCUAACUACGUGCCAGCAGCCGCGGUAAUACGUAGGGUGCAAGCGUUAAUCGGAAUUACUGGGCGUAAAGCGUGCGCAGGCGGUUUUGUAAGACAGAGGUGAAAUCCCCGGGCUCAACCUGGGAACUGCCUUUGUGACUGCAAGGCUUGAGUGCGGCAGAGGGGGGAUGGAAUUCCGCGUGUAGCAGUGAAAUGCGUAGAUAUGCGGAGGAAACACCGAUGGGCGAAAGGCAAUCCCCCUGGGGCCUGCACUGACGCUCAUGCACGAAACGUGGGGAGCAAAACAGGAUUAGAUACCCUGGUAGUCCACGCCCUAAAACGAUGUCAACUGGUUGUUGGGAAGGUUCCUUCUCAGUAACGUAGCUAACGCGUGAAGUUGACCGCCUGGGGAGUACGGCCGCAAGGUUG